CUACCAUGUCAGAUGUUUUACAAUCUGGAGUAGCUUCAACAUUGAUUCUUAGAGACGAAACAUCAGCGUUAAGCAACUGUUGUUGUUGCUGCAAGUUAAGCACAUGGUGGUGAUGGUGAUGGUAGUGAUGGUGAACUUGGAACUUCUGGUGCAUCGCUCUUACUUGGCCCGGGGCUGCCUUUGCAGCAUCUUGAUUUCCUGGAACCAUAUGUUAUGUAGAAGAAUUGUUUCCAUGUUGUACUGGUUGAAAUGCAGAACAGGGAUGGGCAUUGACUGCAGGUUUAUUUAUUGGCUUGUCA
rnacentral:lncRNA from 1 species